rnacentral:lncRNA from 1 species
GGGUUGCUAAGCAACAGCGCUGGCAGCAUCCAUCAUGCCCAGCAAUGUCAGCCCCUGAGCGUGGCCAACAGAGUGCAUUGGUGUCCCUCCCCCACACCCUUCCUCAGCCUCCCAACCCCCUAUGAAAAUGUUAAUUUGCAUCUUGGGGACAGAAGCUGUGCCAGGUGAUCCUGUGUACCUAAGAAUGAAGGAAAAACUCAAUGUGUGCCAGGAGAGCAAGGCCCAAAGGAUGCUCUGAUACCAAUGUGACCAGCUUCUGUGAGAGAUGCACUUACCAUCUCUUGCUUUCAGGAAAUGUGCCCAGUGAACUCAGCCUUCAGGGCAGGCCCUGGUUGUAGCUGGUCCAUCGACACUCUGUUAUUAGGAGGGCUCACAAAGGAUGGU